rnacentral:rRNA from 1 species
AGGACAAACGCUGGCGGCGUACCUAAGACAUGCAAGUCGAACGGAUUGCGUAUCUUCGGAUGUGCAGUGAGUGGCGAACGGGUGAGUAACGCGUAGGAACCCGCCUCGACGUGGGGGAUAACACUUGGAAACAGGUGCUAAUACCGCAUGUGGUCGAGAGAAGAAAGGCUUGAGCAAUCAAGUCGCGUUGAGAGGGGCCUGCGUCCGAUUAGCUAGUUGGUGGGUAACGGCUUACCAAGGCGACGAUCGGUAGC